CUUAUGUCUUUUUAGUUUUAAAAAACUGUAUAUGGACUUAGAUUAUGUUAUACUAUCAUGUAUGUUCUCAAUUUUUCAUUAAAAUGUAUUAUAUAUACUACAACAAAACUGGCCUGUAGAGACAUCUUGGUUUGGACGCUUUUGUGUUCGUCUUUAUCCUUGGUACUAUCCUACGAGUAAAGAAGAUUUUUAGGACGCUUUGCAGGUCGUCUCUGCGUUACGAGAUUCACGUUCGAAGCUCUUUAAAACUCCUCACCCAAAUACAAUUAAUCCCAAUUUAUCACGUCUCCCUCAAGGAAGUUACAAACACGUCCGUGAAACCUAACGCCGCCGCCACUAGAUCCCUUGGGAGGCCGGUGGCGUACACCGACGCGAACUCUGCGCAGCGUCUGAUACGCUACAAAUCUUCAACGACGCUUGAUGAGUCCAUGGUGCGCUUGCCGGAUUCCAGGAGGCCCAGAGGAAGAUGAGUACCUCGUGUCUUUCUUGUUCAAUCAAUCCAGCUAUUAAUUCUAUGCCUCGAUUUUUUCAUAUUAGCAAUAGCUAUUUGAAUUAAUGUUAUUAUUUUGCAGUGGAAAUCACCAGGUCAAACCAUAUGGAUGCACAGUUCGGUUCUGAGUAUGACGGAUCUUUAGUUAUAUAAUUUAUUUUCUUUUUCCAUUGAACUGUGCGUUUGUUUUUUAUUGUUUUGUAGUCUGCAAUGUUAGCAGAAAAAAAAGAUACUGUAGUAAUAUUUCCGUUGGCUUUGUUUCUUUGCAGGAUAUUGUUUAUGAAGAUCUUUGAAGUAACAGAAAAAAUGGCUACUGAAUAAUCAUCAGAAGUGGGACGAUAGGGAGCUCCUGAACCAUUAGAAGUGUUCAAUUGUAAACUAUGGUCUCCGUUCAGAAAUAAAGUCCAAAUUUUCCAACUAUACACUGUAUUACGUCCUUUGCCUUUUGACAUAAAGUUUUUAUGGUUAUGCCGA